rnacentral:lncRNA from 1 species
AUAAGAUACGCUCUGUAUUAUUUUUCUCUCUCGUUCUUUCAGAUUCUUCUGCACCAUCUCUUUCUUUCCCUCUCAAUGCCGGUUCUCACACAGCGAACCAGAAUCCGCCAUGGAAGAAAUCGAAGAAGCACCAAAAAGUUCAUCGCUAUUUCCCGUUUUUCCCCAAUCUCAAAUAUCUGUACCGUCCAAAGGUCCCAUUCCUCCCUUCUUUGAGAUAUUCCAUUUUGUCUUUUUCUUUCUUUCUUUUAUUUUAUUCUUUUUCCCAACUUUUCUUUUUGUCUAGACUUUGAUGAAGCCGUGAUUUUCUAUGUCAAGAGUCAAGAUCAAGAUGGCGAUUUAAUGGUUGAAGAGUCUAUUUAGAAAUUGAUGCCUUAUGUUUCGUAUCAAUGUCGAAAUCCGAUAUAGGGUAAAUUGGGUUGACAAUGGAGGUUCGAAAUCUGCUAUCGACGAGACGACAUUAGGGUUAUUCUUGAACAAAGACCAUGGAGUUUGGGGCUGAGCAACUUGAAGAAUCUGUUACCUUUUGUUUCCCGUUGUAUUUCAAUGUAUCUCGCUGUAUUCUAUGUAUUUUAUUGUAUUCAUUAUCUUUUUUUAUUGUAUUUCAAUGUAUCCCAAUGUAUUCUAUGCAUUUCAUUAUAUUCACGAUCUC